UUCUCCUACGGGACGCAGCAGUAGGGAAUCUUCCACAAUGGACGAAAGUCUGAUGGAGCAACGCCGCGUGAGUGAAGAAGGUUUUCGGAUUGUAAAGCUCUGUUAGCAGGGAAGAGGGAGGACGGUACCUGCAGAGGAAGCCACGGCUAACUACGUGCCAGCAGCCGCGGUAAUACGUAGGUGGCAAGCGUUGUUCGGAAUAACUGGGCGUAAAGGAUGCGUAGGCGGUUAAACAAGUUAUAUGUUAAAUAUAUAGGCUUAACCUGUAGAAAGCAUAUAAAACUGUUUAACUAGAGUGCAGGAGA
rnacentral:rRNA from 1 species